UCGUCUGUUUACGUCCCUACACCUGACAUCACAAAGAUAAUGAACCCAUUCUGGGAUCUCAGCCGUCAAACGCCAAACAGACGGUGGACAAGCGAUGUGCUGGCCGAGGUCCAAACAAGGCUCCAAGGCCGUUUCAAUCCAACCGUUUUAAUCCGUCCUCUCCUGGCCCCUGAAUUAUCAUUUUUUUUAUAUAAACCGAUUGAAUUUGCUUAUUUCCGGAUUUCUAAAUCAUCUCCCGAUUCCUCCGCUCGUCAAAUCCUCGCCGUGUCCGUGUAGCAAUUCCUUGCGUUGGCGAAUCAUAGCAGUCUCCUCUCUCCGGCGGCAAAUCGUCGAACUGCCACGCCUGGCCCCGCCGCCAGCCUCCUCGUCUGAAGAAGAACGGAAGACGUCGGGCUCCGGUGGUUCUGAACGGCAGGUAGCCAGUCGCGCUUCUCACGCCGGAGACUCGAUUGGCGUUGUAUUUGCCUUUCCGUUUGUUGAGUUCUCGAAGCAAAACGAUCGGAUGAGAUUCUUCAAGGGGAGCAAGGUGGAGGUAUUGCAGGAGGCAGAGGUGCCAUUUGGUUCUUGGAGGCCUGGUGAGAUCAUCUCCGGCAAUGGACACACCUACCUGGUGAGAUAUGAUGAAAGUCCCGUUGACUCUAGCGUGGCUGUUGAAAGGAUGCCAAGGAGGUUGAUUAGACCUAGCCCUCCUACGGAUGAUCCUGUACGCUGGAGUUUGGGUAGUAUUCUUGAGGCCUUUGACAGCUACUCGUGGAAGGUUGCUGAGGUGGUGAGAGUGCUUAGAAAGAAUCAAUAUCUAGUCAGGCUCCUUGGGUCGUCGCUGGAGUUGAGUGCACAUGCAUCAGAUCUUCGAUUGAGGAAGCUUUGGUUAGAUGACAGAUGGAUUGUGACUCAGAAGUAUUCCGCAAGAUGCUUGGAUGGUGCAUUCAGAGGUCAAUCUGAAGAUGGAAAUUUAGACUGCAACUUGAGAAAGGACAGCCAUAUUCAACUUGAGAACCGGAAUGCUUUUGAGGGUGAUACAUCUAGAGGCAUGAAGAGAAAAUCGUCUGCUAUAUCAACACAUCCUCAUUGCAGCGACAUCAGUAAGAGAUUGCAAUGCAGUGACGCCACUAAGAGAUUCUGGACACUAAAUAGAGAUGGAAGGCACACAAAGCUGGUUGAUAGAGGUUUUUUCCCUUUGGCUGAAAAGGUAGAUGCUGUUGAUUCCCCAUGCUUAAUGCUGCGUGGGAAAUACAUGCAUGCUAGUCAUAAAGGGCAUACUAGAACAACUGAAGAAUUUAGUGACACAGAGAGUACCUCAUCUUCUGUUGGUAGUUCUAGUCCUAAUAGUACCCCCCAUAGAUCACAGUAUUAUAAUUUGGUCAACCAAAGUGGAGAUAUCUGUAGUAGAACUGAUGGUGAUGAAGCUUUUACAUUCGAAAGAGAAACAUCAGAACAUGGUAACGAUGGAUCGAGGGGAGAAACCCAUUUGCUGGAAUUACAUGCUUAUCGUGCGACAAUGUUAGCCUUGUAUGCUUGUGGGUCAAUUAGCUGGGAGCAAGAGGCUUUGUUGACUAACCUAAGGUUAACACUGAACAUCUCAACUGAUGAACAUCUAGCUGAAUUGAGGAGUUUGGUUACCCAUGCUGUUACUUCCAGAUAGCCUUUUCUUGUUAAUUUCCUGGGGACAUUUCAUAUAUUCCAAAUUAUUGUAAGUUGGGAAAUCUCAUUAAGGGGUUGAGGUGUUGGAGUACUUCAUGUGUAGAAUUAUACUUGUCAAAAGAGUCACUUGGGAAAUUUUGUACUGUUGAUAUCUCAAGACUUCUGAAUUUUUGGGACAGUCUUGAAGUAUUAAUAUUUUUCACACUGAAACCUUUUUUUAAUCAUUGCAUUAGCUUAUGUUGUUGUUUAACAUUGUACUACUACACCGAUAGUUCUUGUAUCCUUGAUUGCAUUUGUGAUGAUUGAUGACUUUAACUUUCAAUACUUUGAUCAAAGCAUGUACAAGCCGCUCCUACUAUAUCAAUUCUCAAAGAUAUAAGUAUGAAUAUUCUUGAGGAAGUUUAGUUUUUUAAAUGAUUGUCUUUGUAGUGUCAAUGUUUUUACUAUAGUUGUGCUAUAGUUGCCUCCAAAAGUUGUGAAAAAUUGUAUGUAUUGUGAAAUAUCAAAUAUAUGUUUCCUCUUGACAUUGUGUUGAUUGGUGGGAUGACUAAUCCAUAAUGCUUUUUGCUGUUAAUUUAGUAGCAGCUGUUGUGCAUUGGCAGUUCCACUUUAGUAUUGUUCACUUCUGCAACAGCAAAACUUUGGGGAAAGGAAAUCUGAUACUUCUCAUGAACUUUCCAGGGCCAAGGUUGGAGGCUUGUAAAGCAUCCUUCCAUAGGUUCUUAUAAAUGGAGGAGUCUGCCACAUGUUUUGCAGUGUGAUAAAUGUGACAAUAUUUCCAUUGAACUUCCAUUGGUACUUAAUUUAUUUUCAAUAUAUUUUUUCUUUUAGGACCAUUAUAUGUUUUCUUCUAGGAUAGGAUUCUCUCGUGCCUUGCUUUUUAAGUUGCAUGAUACUUCAUUGCGACAUUAAUGGAUAGUAGUUUCCAUGUGAGCUUGUCAUACCUUAUGCUUGCAAAUAAUAGAACAAAAGCCUAAGGAGCACUCAGUUUGGUUUAUUUAUAAAAUAUACAAAUGUAAUAACACAAAAGGGUUGCCCUGUGUGGCUACUUGUACAUGCUUAUCUCAAACUUGGAUCAAAGAUUUAUUUUUGAUAUUUUUGUUCAAAAUUAAGGUUAAGCAGGGCCAAGAGUGUGGUUCCAGAUUGGUACUGGUUGCUGGAUAAAAGGGUCAAAUUGGAUUAGUUUAUGAUCCAAACAAAAAGGUGAUCUGAUUGUUGUGUGAAUUUUCACAGAACAAGCAUAAUCCCUCUUAGGUAAGUGCUCCUGUAACUCUUGGUUUUAUUUAAAUCCUUUUUGGAGGAGAAAGAUUUGAAUGAUACUUACAAGGUAUACUAAAAAUGUAUUUUGAUCAUUGUACACAUUUUUCAUGUAAUAAAGCAACUGGCAGUCUUAGCUGUAUUUUCAUAUUAUUAUAUGGAUUUAUGGUAAACAACUCUAAAAAUAUCAGUAAGUUAAGACCUUGUUUGGUGGAGCAGGUCAUUAAGUGCUCUCUAGGAAAUCGUGGAGCUAGAUCUAUAAGCCUUUAGAAGACAUUUAGAUAAAUCAUUUUGUUUAUUAUUUAGAUUAAUUUUUUUAAAACUAUUUAAAUCGAUAUUAUAAACUACAACUCCACACUAGAGCUGGAACAUGGAGCCAUCACAAACACCCCCCUAAAUUGCAAUUGAUGCCUACCCUUCAGCAAAAAAACAGUAGUUUAGGUAGGCAAUUGUAGGUCGCUUGCAGAGGCUUUAUAUAUCCAUUGUGUUGAAGUUAAGAAAUAUUCAAGAUAUAUGUUGCGGAGUGCAUAUUGUUUUGAGUUAAAAUUUAAAUAUGAAGUAGGGACUAUAAUUUAGGGGUUGUUUGGUACCUUUGCUAGCUACUGUUUGGAUGUCUAGAUAGCCUACCUUGAUUCCUGCGCUAGCGAGCUUUUCUUUGCUGCUUCAAUUGCUUGUUUGGAUUGGAGGAGAUUGAAGGGGAUUGGAGGGUAUUGAGGGGGAAAUGAACUAAUUUCCCCUUCUAACCAAACAAGCCCCAAGCAAGCCCAAUUGGCUCUCCUUAGCCGGGAAGCAUUCAGUUACUCACGCUGGUGAAGCAAGGCAACCUGGUUCGGGAACCAAGCAUGCCCUUAAUUGGUUGUCUGGCAAGGACAUUGAUCUAUGCAUUGUUAAGAUUUUCCUUGCUAGUGUGGUGAGCAAAUUUGGCUCGUCUGGACGGGCAAGAUCCUUGUGGCUUGUGCGCCUUAAGAAAUGGGAGGUGGCUUGUGCCAGCCCCUCAAUACCUCAACCAACUACUUGUGUUUAUGGGUGUUCACCUAAGAAUCUUGCAUCAAGACAAGGGUGUUGUUCCAUGAAUGCCUACACAUUAUGACUAUCAUUGUACGCUUGAAAUCUUUGUUAGAUAAAAAGGACAUAACCAGUGCUGGCAAGGACAUGAUGGGGUUUGAGGAAGGAAUAACCGAGGCAAGUCUUACCCCUACAUUUUGUGGAGAGGUUGUGUUGAACCAAGGACCUUUUGGCUUAGUGGAAAGACCUCUCACCACCAUGGUUAUUAAAGCGUCGUUAAAACAUCGUUUAAACGCUAAAACGUGAUUAUCAUGUAGAACGCCCGAAAGUUUUGACCAAAUCUCAUAGAACAUCCAUGAAAUUUGUUUAAACGUUCGUUUUUGCGUCGUUUAAACGUUUUGGGAUGUUUUAGGCGCGUUUUAGAAGUUUUAGACUAUGGGACCUCUGAAAGGCCCAUCAAGCCCCAGAGGUAAGACGUCGGCCUUCCCUCUCAUGUUCUCCUUCUCCAGCGCCUCCACCCACCUCCCUCAGUCCCUCCUCCUCUCCUCCAGUUUCGCCCGCUCUAGUGUCGGUUCCAUCAAUUCUAGCCAUCCAACGUCGCUCGCUCCAUCGUCGUCCGCUCCAGUGUCGCCCGCUCCAGAAUCACCCUCCUCCAGCGUCGCCUCUCUCCUCCCUCCUCCAACGCCACCACCCAUCAACCACUGCCAGUAGCCAGCUGGUCCCAGGUCAAGACGCUAGGUGCCAGCAGCCAGUAAAUCACCGGUUCACCAUUUCAUUGUCGCCCUGCUCUAUUUGGUAUCUGUUUGUCAUCUUGCUCAGCUAUUCCUCUAUAAUCUAUUUGCACUCUACAGUCAGCAUUGAACACUUGCUGAUCUGCACGCACUCAAUGUUUCAGGCUCUCAGUAAUUUCAAUUGAUGAGUUGGAUGAUGGUUACUGAUGCUAGAUGCAAGUUCUUACUUGCAUGUUGCAUAAUUACAUAUACUUGAGUGGUUAAACUUGAUCAAUUUUCUUUUAUGCUAUUUGUUUUGUGAACUCAAGUACUCAACUUAUGAGUAUGAACAUAUCCUAUUCUGUUGUUUUAUGUCAAGUCUGAAAAGACGUUUCAACGUUCGUUUUAACGAAUAAAUAUUGAAAAGGUGGCUUCUAACUGUUUAUCGUUUUAUCGCUUUAAUAACCAUGCUCACUCAUGUCCUGCUUGAAUUUUUUGUUAGAUAAUGAAAAAUAAUUUCUUAGAUGUUCUUGGAAUAUAUUUGAAGAUCUUUGUAAGUUUUUUCUCGAACAACGCAGGAGAUCUACGUGUCAUUUCAUUAAGGCCCCGUUUGUUUCGUUGGAAUUGAAUUAUAUUAUAAUAAUUAUAAUUUAGACAAAACUAAUUGAGUUAAUAUAUUUAUUUAUGUAAUGUAUUUGUAUGUUAUCCUAAAUCAUAUCAGAUAGAUAGUUAUAAACUAUAUUUAUGUUAUAGAGAAACAAGUAGAAGAGUGUGCUAUAAAUUGUACAUUAGAAAAGUAACAUGUAAAUCUAUAGAAUUAAUUUCCAUCUCUCGCCCCCAUGAAUUUGAGAUAGGCUUAUAUAUACACUUUGGAAAGUUGUGGAAUGUCACAUUUUUUUAAAAAAUAGUCUAUUGCAUUAGUUAAAUUCCAAUUCCUCAAAAUGAAGGUAAACAAACGAACCCUAAGAAGAGAGAGAAGGUACCACAUACAUCAACUAAAAGCUUUGGUUGUUACAACUGUGACACCUAGACCAUUUGAAUACAAAAACCACAGAGGGGUAGGCCAUCAAGACCUACACAUUCGUAGCUCGUGCCCAGACCAGGAAGUCUUGCAGUUUGGAGGCCCCAGCCCACCUCCAAAGCCGACAUUCCUCAACAAUCCUUGUGAUCAAAGUGAGUGUGUUAGGCUCUGAAUUCUCAAAGACACAAGAAUUUCUGUGCUUCCAUAUCUCCCAGGCUAUUAAAAUGAUAAGGGAAUUCAGCCCUUGCCUCCUUUCUUUUGGUACUAACUUGACCACCUUCCUCCACCACUUAAAAAAAACUCGACCUGCGGGGGGGGGGGGGGGGGGGGUAAGACAGCCCCCGACUAUUAUAUUAAGAAUAAGACCUUCUCACACAGGUCAAGAAAAACCCGAACCCCUGCCCCACCAUACACAGCGGCAUCGAAGCCUAUGUGAGAACGACCACGAUUGGGGCUGAGCCUUAGACCCGUGCUUUGGCGUGGGACAGGCGAGGGAUUUUUUUAACCACAACCUGAAUUUCGCUCCCACGGGGAGUCGAACCCAGGACCUGAGGAGUGCUACUCAGACCACCUAACCAACUCAGCUAGAGGCUCUUUCGCUCCUCCACCACUUAGGAAAGGGCCUUCCACCGGGUCCCAUAUCAUAAGAUACGCUUGUAAGACUUGGACAGUUAAGGUCUCUUUUAUAUCUGAUAUCCAUCUCCUGUUGUUCAGUGCCUCAACAACUGUCCUCUUUUUUACGGUUCUUUUGCCAAUAGUUGUGAUCAGAUGGGGUGCUAGUUCAGCAAUGCAUUUCCCUUCUAACCACCUGUCCUUCCAAAAUAAAUUUUUUUCACCAUUACCAAUUAAUGGGAAUCAUAGCCAUGUUGAAGAGAGCUUUGACAUUUCGUGGGACCUCCAAUUGAAAACCAUCCGAAGGACGUGGUCGAUCCAAUUUUUGAGCACAUAGCCAUCUUAUUUUCAGUGCCCAACCUAAUUUUUCCAUAUUUAAAAUCCCUAAUCCGCCAUAGCUUAAGGGGCAUUGAACCUUUUCCCAUGACACUAGGCAAUUCCCUCCAUUGGCCCUUUCUCGCCCUUUCCAGAGAAACCCACUCCUUAUUUUGUCCACAGCCUUAAUGACCCAUUUUGGCAGAUCAAUUGCUAGCAUAGAGUAUAUUGGGGAGGCUGUCAAGACUGCUCGUACCAUAAUUAAUCGACCAGCCCGGUUCAUUAGAGAAGUUUUCCAUCCCGGCAAGUAGUCUGAAACUUUAUCCACCAACAGUUGUAGAGCCUCCUUAGGGGGGGGGGGGGGGUUAUGGAUGGAUAGAGGCAGCCCAAGAUAUGUACAUGGGAAUUUUUUUGCACUGCAGGACAGAACUUCCAUUGUUAAAAGUCUUUCAGCUUCUGAACAUUGAAUAGGGGCCACAGAACUCUUAGAUAAAUUACAUUGUAAGCCAGAAGCUUGCCCAAACAGGUUGAGGAUGGACUUUAUAACCAUCAAAUCUGUCCUUAAGGGCUCAAAGAUAUUACUGCGUCAUCUGCGUAAAAGGAGAUCCUAUGCCUGGCAUAUUAUUGGACCGCAAGGGGUUGCAGCAGCUGGUUGGAAGUGGCAUACUUGACUAAGUAGUUCAGAGCAUCCAUAACAAGGAUGAAGAGCAUGGGAGAGUGUGGAUCACCUUGCCGUAGGCCUCGUUUAUGGAUAAAAGGCAAACCAGGUUCCCCAUUGACAAGGAUUCUGGUUGAGGUGGUGGAAAGCAACAAGCUUAUAAGAUCACACCACCUCUUACCGAAUCCCACAUAUUCUAUGACUUCAAGGAGAAAGGGCCAGGAAACCGAAUUAAAUGCCUUUGAUAUAUCCAAUUUCAGCAGAACAUGUGCUUCUUUUUUCUUAUGUAAGGCCUUCACCAUCUGUUGAACAAAGAUGAAGUUGUCAUGGAUGUUUCUGCCCCUAACAAAGGCACUCUGAUUUAUGGAGACAAUGGAAGGCAGUAAGGGUGCCAAUCUGUUUGCCAAGACUUUUCCCACGAGCUUGGCAAAGCUAUGUAUUAGGCUGAUUGGUCUAUAGUCUUUCACUUGCAUGUCAUCAAUUUUUUUUAGGGAUAAGGGUGAUGAAGGCUGUGUUGAGAAGCCUGAACUUGAAAAAUAUGUCCCUAGCACAAGCAGCAAAGGCCUCCAACAAAUCAUUUUUUAUAAUGCUCCAACAUACCUUGUAAAACGGACCUAUGAAACCAUCCAAGCCAGGUGCUUUGUCAAGGGGUAAGUCUUUAACUGCUGCCCAUAAUCCCUCUUCUGUGAAUGGGUUGUCCACGCUGGCCAAAUCAUGCUGCUGCAUACCAAUCUCACUAAGAUUUAAAGUUAGGGGGCGACUUUCAGCUGUUCCCAAGGCCUUUUCAUAAAAUUUCAGCACUGCUGCCUGCUUUUCUUCUUGUGUGAUAGCCAUAGAGGUUUCUGUAUGCAGCUUAGCAAUAAAAUUCUUUUUCUUUCUGAAACGGGCUUGAUGGUGAAAAAAGAAGGUAUUUGCAUCUCCUUCCUUGAGAUAAAGGAUUCUAGAAUGCAGUCUAGCAAUGGUACGUUCCAAAGAAGCAAGACCAAGCAGAUGUAGUUUAAGCUUCUUUUUUAGCCAUUCUUCCCUGUUUGAAAGAUCCCUGGAAUCUCUUGCAAUCUCCAGUCUAUGUAUUAUUUCCUUAGCCAUCUCAAUAUGUAAUUUAAUGUUACCAACCUUUCUUUGCCCCCACUUCUGUAAAUCUUUACUGAGCCGUUGCAACUUGAGAAAAAGGCGCUCUACUGCACUUGUGGACUGUACAUGAGCUUCCCAGUUCCGUUGAACGACCUCAAGGAAUCCUGGCACUUUUGCCCAAAAGCUUUCAAAAUGAAAUCUCCUCUUGCCUUUAGUUUGGAGUUUUAAACCAAGAAUCAAAGGGCAAUGAUCGGAUACAUUAGACGCCGAACUUUGGAGGACUGAAUCAGGAAAUAUAUUCUCCCAUUCCAAACAGCAAAAGGCCCUAUCCAGCCUUACCAAAGUAGGUGAACUCCUCUCGUUGGACCAAGUAUAUUUACGGCCCAGGAGAGGGAUUUCUUUCAAAUCAAAUUUAUUUAAAAAUCUCCAAAACCUUCCCAUCAUGUCCCUGUCCAGAUUAUCAUUAUUUUUGUCUGAAGCCUGAUAAAUCAUGUUGAAAUCUCCAGCUGUCAGCCACGGCUCAUUACAUAACAUCCUGAUAUCUUUCAAUUCCUGUAAAAACGUAAUCUUUUCUUCCUCACAUCCUGAGAUCUUUGUAAGUGACCACAUCCACAAUGACUGUGUUCUACAUUUUGCUUUACAUGUUUUGUGUUGAACACUUAGGUGUUUUAACUGUUUACUGUUUAUUUGCUUUAAAAAUGCCAAUUGCUGCCUAGAAUUGUUUUAUACCUAUGCUUAAAUAGAAUACUCCAUGCAUGAUGGAAUCUUAGACAACUGGGGAAAAAUGCUUUACGGUGUGCAAGUUAAUACAUGUAAUUAGAAAUUGGCACACAUUCUUAUGUGCUAGAUCGUUGCUUCCGUUAUCUCCCCAUUGCAGACAAAUAUUCAGUAUGGGAUAUGUAGUGCUAAUUUGUUUGUUUACAAGUGUAGGAAUAUGAAAGUGGAUGUAUUGAUAGGAGAUGGAGUACAUAUAUAUAGAGACUCAACCCUAACCCUAAUGGGCCGGCAGCCCAACAGUGGCGCCGGUCCACACACACAGUCUAACAUCCCCUCACAGUCGCAACGGGGGUACCACACACGAUGAGACUGGAGUAGAGGCCGAAGGUAGGAGCCGACGGGUUGAAAUCCCCCGCAGUCGCAGCGUCGUGAUGGUGCGAAUGUUGCGGCUGGAGUAGAGAUUGGUGUGUGCUCCAAGAAGACGAUAGCCCCUAGAUGCCGAGGUAGCCGAAGUCGAGGUGGUCGCGGUCAGGAGACACGCAGCAAAAGCCUGUUCUUCGGGAGGAGUCGACGUUCGAGCGUCAACGAUUGGCGAGGGCGACACAACAAAAGAGCACCAGCAGGUCGGCCUUCCUGCUUCUUCGAUCGUCCGGGCGUCAAGGAGCCCCGCCAGGGAAGCCGACAGCAGCGCACGCGUCUGCACCGGUCAUGGUAGCCGCGCCUGCGGCAGAAUAGAAGGGGAAACGGCAGAUCCGGCCGGGAAGGCCACGACAGCGACGGAUCCAGCCGGGAAGAAGCGAUCCAGCAAAAGGGACGGCAGAUCGAGCCGGAAAGGUCGCAGCAAUGUGGAUCCGGCUGGGAAAGCCGCGACAGCGACAGAUCCAGCGAAGGCGAUGAAGGGGGUGGGCGGCGGGGCAGGUCCAGCCGGGCAGGGGCCUGCGCCGGACCUAGCAAGGGGUGUUGACGACACCGGUGACGGGAGAAGCUCGAAGGGUGACGCGCUGCUGGGCAUCAGCGCGGUCAGUUUAGGAGGUGGCCAACGCGAUGAGGAGGGGCAACACGUGCGAGGGUGCCGACGGAGGACGCAGCGAAGAGGAGGGGGCACAUGCGAGGGACGCAACGAAGAGGAGGACGCCGACCAAGGGAGGCAGCCAUGGGGAACAGGGAACGAGCAGAGGGACUGCUCGCACCCUGUCCCAUCUCAACGCGCGGGAAAUGGGGCUCAGGAGCCGAGUGCCAUGGAUCCGAAGCUUGGCUGGCGACCUAGGAGAGGUAGCUGAAGUGGGAAGCCGGUUGGAGACCGCGGCCGCCAUGGGGCUGGAGGUAGAGCGCCGUGCGUCCGGGGGCUUGUGCCCGCCGAGCAGGGAGCCAGACGGCCGGAGAGGAACCAGAGAGAGGAAGAGCAGCGGCUGCUGUAGAGGAAACAGGGAGAAGAAGAUGGGGGUGUCGGCUUCCUGAGGAGAGGGAUGACGACCAGGGACAGGACCUGAGCGCCAUGGGAGAUGAGCAGAGAGAGGAAAAGCUGAGGGCGGCCAUUGCUGCCGAGCUGGAGAGGAGAGGGGCGAGAGCAGAGGGGCUGCUCCGGCGCGCCAUGGGGAACCGCGCCACCGGGAGAGGCCGCGCCCGCCAGGGAAGGCCGCAACUAGGCCGCCGUCGGAUCCACGCGAUGGCUCGUCGGUCCUGGCGGCUGCUGUGGGGUGAGAGGCGGUCGGCGGCUACUGUGGUUCAGGCGGAUCCGCCAGCGGCAGCGCAGAUCCAGGCGGACAGCCCCGGCCCCAACCUCCUCUGUUGUUCGCGCCGGCGUAGGGGAGGGAGGGGUAGCGCGCGGCCGGUGCAGGGAGGUCCGACGGCGGUUCAAGGCCGGGGAGGAGGUGCCCUGGCGGCGUAGGGGAGGGAGGCCGCCCCCAGGAGUGUGUGCGUCAGCGCCCUGCACACGAGGGGAGGUGGCAGGGACCGAGCUCCAGGACAUCUCGCGCAGGGAGGCUCGCCGGCCUAGGAUGGCUGGGAGCCGGCGGCUGGAGAGGAGCUGCCCUAGGAGGGAAGGAUGAGCCUCCCGGGGCGGCGGCGCGGAAGCCGUGCCUAGGGCAGAGGUGGGGUGGCGGCUGGGGAAAGAAGUGAGGAAACCCUAAUCUUUUGAUACCAUGUAGGAAUAUGGAAGUGGAUGUAUUGAUAGGAGAUGAAGUACAUAUAUAUAGAGACUCAACCCUAACCCUAAUGGGCUGGCAGCCGGCAGCCCAACAGUGCCGCCGGCCCACACACACAUUCUAACAAGAUUUUGAUAAUCACAUUGGUUAUUGCACAGGACAACGAUGAACAUUUUUGGGCUUUAUGAGCUUUCAAUGUGCAAUCGGUGCAAGUUCAUUUCGGCUCAUGGAUAAGUUGAUGCACACUGCAAUUCUAUAAUCAGAAUUUAUUAUUAGCUUAAAGGAAGUGAUAUUUAGGUGAAAUAGUGUGAAACUCAAACAUAAGUGAUAUUUAGGAUUAAAGCCAGGCUAGGUGUCCAGUUAUCAAAAAACACAUCUAUUUGCGGUGCUUCCAAAUCAUGCAGGCACCCAGGAUGAUGAGGGAGUCAAGUCCUUUCUUGAAGAGCCCAUUCACAGCCUCCGAGGCUUUUUCCCACCACUCAAAGAAGGAUGUGGCACCUGGUUGUGGUGCUAAAGAAUGCAUACCAAUCUUUCUCAACAUCUUGUACCAGAAGAGUCUUGCAAAUACACACCACACAAACAAAUGAUUUAUUGUUUCAGCUUCCUGGUUACAUAAAGGACAUUUGCUUGGGUGAUUCAGAUCUCUCUUAGCCAAUCUGUCAUGUAAUGUCCAAAGGAGCUUGACCCCAAGAAAAGAUCCUUAUAAGCAGCCUUUGCGGUGUAUCUGCCAUAUGAAGCAAUGCUAAAGAUAUGCUUAUCCUCCCUAUUGGGCUGCAGUUCAAAAUCUGAGGGAACUUCCUAAAGAUGAAGAUAGUCCAUCUCCUAUUUGAUAAGGCGUCUUGGACAGUUCUCUUGUUAAUAAAUCUCUUUGGAAUUGAGCCAAACAGCCGAGGAGCCAAAUCAGAAACUCUUUUCCCAUGUAGCCACUUAUCCAUCCAAAACAUGGUGUUUGAUCCAUCCCCAACCUCAGAGAUCAAGGCCCUGGAAAAGAAAGCUUGAGCCUUGCCAGGUACCUGAAUAGGUAAGCCAGUCCAAGGACGUCCAGGGUCAGUUUUUUUGUAACCAAAGCCAUCUGUACCCCAUGCCACCAAGCAAUGCUCUACUACGAUUUUUGUAAAAGCAUACAAAUGUGCCCUAGUUCAGGACUUGCAGCUGAUUUCCAUGUACACACAAAACGUUGGGAUUACAUGGUCUGGCCUUGCAUCAAAGAAUACUUGCAGGUAUGUCUGUACAGUAAUUUGCCAGUCGUCUUAUACAUAUGAUACAUACCUUUUUAUCUGUUCUUGUGUUUUGUAAUCCAGAUAUUGUAGCUGUUCUUCAUGAGACUUAUUUUGGAGAAUUAUUUGGCCGCCCUACUUUUGUGCUAAAGCCAGUUGCCCUUCAAUUUACAGAAGUGAUCGUUGUGCAGUUGAAGGAACAUGUUUGAAAUGCAAUGGAUAGGCCAUCACAUAUUUUCAGAAGUGAAGUGGCUGGCGCUCCGGUCCCGGUGGUGCCCAUCUGCUGCUGCCGCCACUGACGACAAACAAUCGUCGUCAGCCAUAAUGAUGGUGCGUUAUGGGCCUGAGAUGGCUGCUGAUGCUCUGGGCAGUGAGCACAGGCUUUGUGCACAGCAUUGAUACCAACCAUGCCCGAACAGAAUGGCAUCGCCAGUAUCUUUCUGCUGCCCUGCACAUGCACAGUACACUCCAUCAGUACUGCAGGAAUGUGUCUGUCUGGCAACAACAUGUGUCAAGGGUUUCGUCAUUCUCCAGCCUCAGCCUCUGCACCAACCAGUUUAAAGAUUCAUUAACCUCUCUCGGUCUACUUGCACUCUAACCGUUACAGUUAACCAACCAUUGGACGAGUCCUGUAGCCGACCAUCCUAAUUCUCGGACGUCACGGCGUUUGGCCGCCGGAACACAAGCA